ACGAACGCUGGCGGCGUGGAUAAGACAUGCAAGUCGAACGAGAGAAUUGCUAGCUUGCUAAUAAUUCUCUAGUGGCGCACGGGUGAGUAACACGUGAGUAACCUGCCCCCGAGAGCGGGAUAGCCCUGGGAAACUGGGAUUAAUACCGCAUAGUAUCGAAAGAUUAAAGCAGCAAUGCGCUUGGGGAUGGGCUCGCGGCCUAUUAGUUAGUUGGUGAGGUAACGGCUCACCAAGGCGAUGACGGGUAGCCGGUCUGAGAGGAUGUCCGGCCACACUGGAACUGAGACACGGUCCAGACACCUACGGGUGGCAGCAGUCGAGAAUCAUUCACAAUGGGGGAAACCCUGAUGGUGCGACGCCGCGUGGGGGAAUGAAGGUCUUCGGAUUGUAAACCCCUGUCAUGUGGGAGCAAAUUAAAAAGAUAGUACCACAAGAGGAAGAGACGGCUAACUCUGUGCCAGCAGCCGCGGUAAUACAGAGGUCUCAAGCGUUGUUCGGAAUCACUGGGCGUAAAGCGUGCGUAGGCUGUUUCGUAAGUCGUGUGUGAAAGGCGCGGGCUCAACCCGCGGACGGCACAUGAUACUGCGAGACUAGAGUAAUGGAGGGGGAACCGGAAUUCUCGGUGUAGCAGUGAAAUGCGUAGAUAUCGAGAGGAACACUCGUGGCGAAGGCGGGUUCCUGGACAUUAACUGACGCUGAGGCACGAAGGCCAGGGGAGCGAAAGGGAUUAGAUACCCCUGUAGUCCUGGCAGUAAACGGUGCACGCUUGGUGUGCGGGGAAUCGACCCCCUGCGUGCCGGAGCUAACGCGUUAAGCGUGCCGCCUGGGGAGUACGACCGCAAGGUUGAAACUCAAAGGAAUUGACGGGGGCCCGCACAAGCGGUGGAGCAUGUGGUUUAAUUCGAAGCAACGCGAAGAACCUUACCAGGUCUUGACAUCCUUUGACCACUCUAGAGAUAGAGCUUCCCCUUCGGGGGCAAAGUGACAGGUGGUGCAUGGUUGUCGUCAGCUCGUGUCGUGAGAUGUUUGGUUAAGUCCAGCAACGAGCGCAACCCCUGUUGCCAGUUACCAGCACGUGAAGGUGGGGACUUUGGCGAGACUGCCCAGAUCAACUGGGAGGAAGGUGGGGACGACGUCAGGUCAGUAUGGCCCUUAUGCCCAGGGCUGCACACGUACUACAAUGCCCAGUACAGAGGGGGCCGAAGCCGCGAGGCGGAGGAAAUCCUGAAAACUGGGCCCAGUUCGGACUGUAGGCUGCAACCCGCCUACACGAAGCCGGAAUCGCUAGUAAUGGCGCAUCAGCUACGGCGCCGUGAAUACGUUCCCGGGUCUUGUACACACCGCCCGUCACAUCAUGGAAGCCGGUCGCACCCGAAGUAUCUGAAGCCAACCGCAAGGAGGCAGGGUCCUAAGGUGAGACUGGUAACUGGGAUG
rnacentral:rRNA from 1 species